GAUGAACGCUGGCGGCGUGCUUAACACAUGCAAGUCGAACGAAGCACUUUAUUUGAUUUCCUUCGGGACUGAUUAUUUUGUGACUGAGUGGCGGACGGGUGAGUAACGCGUGGGUAACCUGCCUUGUACAGGGGGAUAACAGUUGGAAACGGCUGCUAAUACCGCAUAAGCGCACAGCAUCGCAUGAGGCAGUGUGAAAAACUCCGGUGGUAUAAGAUGGACCCGCGUUGGAUUAGCUAGUUGGUGAGGUAACGGCCCACCAAGGCGACGAUCCAUAGCCGACCUGAGAGGGUGACCCGCCACAUUGGGACUGAGACACGGCCCAAACUCCUACGGGAGGCAGCAGUGGGGAAUAUUGCACAAUGGGCGAAAGCCUGAUGCAGCGACGCCGCGUGAGCGAAGAAGUAUUUCGGUAUGUAAAGCUCUAUCAGCAGGGAAGAUAAUGACGGUACCUGACUAAGAAGCACCGGCUAACUACGUG
rnacentral:rRNA from 1 species